GCUUUAUAUUAAUAAUUUUAUUAUUUAUUUAGAAGUUUUUUUAUAUUAAUUUUGUUAAUAUUUUGUUGGGGUGACAGGAAGAUAAAUAAAACUCUUUUUAGUUUAAUUACAUUGAUUUAUGAAUUGUUGAUCCAUUUUUAGUGAUUAUAAGACUAAGU
rnacentral:rRNA from 1 species